GGUUGAGAUCAUACCAUCAUUAAUGCACCAGAUCCCAUUAGAACACCAUAGUUAAUCAUGCUUGGGAUAGAGUAUUAUUGAGAUGGGUGAACUCCCAAGAAGUCCUAGUGUUUAACUCU
rnacentral:rRNA from 1 species